rnacentral:lncRNA from 1 species
CUUCUCUUACUAGAAGUGACUGAUUCUUUGUUGACCUACUCACAACUUUCGUACAAAAACCACCAUAUCCAGAAUACCCUCUACACAACGCAAUGUCGUGAAUGAGGGUAAACCAAAACAUAGGUUCAAGUGCACAAGGUACCAUGGUGAUCUCAGGUCUAAGGAUCACUUGCACAACUCCCACUAUGAGAACCAUCUUUUGACAAUUAAGUAAGAAUCUAUAAGAUGUUCUCAUGGCUGGUCAUUUCAGUGAACUCAUUCCUCUAAUGAGCAUCCACAUCUUUGUAUUAGUGUCUCACACAAGUGAUUGUGAGAUCAAUCACUCUCUACAUCGAGCAUACAAAAGAUGUGCCAGUCUUUCCGGUAAUAUUGAUCCCCGACUCAAUAUACCAAUUUGACUGAAAAUAUUCUAAAUU